GAUGAAGAACGUAGCGAAAUGCGAUUAGUAAUGUGAAUUGCAGAAUUCAGUGAAUCAUCGAAUCUUUGAACGCACAUUGCGCCCCUUGGUAUUCCGAGGGGCAUGCCUAUUCGAGCGUCAUUAUCACCCCUCAAGCCUAGCUUGGUGUUGAGGCCUGCUGUCAAGGCAGCCUCUAAAAUCAGUGGCAGUGCUGUCAGGCUCUAAGCGUAGUAAAUCUAAUCGCUAUAGACACCUGGUGGACACUCGCCAGAACCCCCCCAUUUUUUAAUGAUUGACCUCGGAUUAGGUAGGGAUACCCGCUGAACUUAAGCAUAUCAAUAAGCGGAGGA
rnacentral:misc_RNA from 1 species